CCUACGGGUGGCAGCAGUGGGGAAUAUUGGACAAUGGGCGAAAGCCUGAUCCAGCCAUGCCGCGUGUGUGAAGAAGGCCUUCGGGUUGUAAAGCACUUUCAGUGGGGAAGAAAGCCUUGGGGCUAAUACCCUCGAGGAAGGACAUCACCCACAGAAGAAGCACCGGCUAACUCCGUGCCAGCAGCCGCGGUAAUACGGAGGGUGCGAGCGUUAAUCGGAAUUACUGGGCGUAAAGCGCGCGUAGGCGGUCUGAUAAGCCGGUUGUGAAAGCCCCGGGCUCAACCUGGGAACGGCAUCCGGAACUGUCAGGCUAGAGUGCAGGAGAGGAAGGUAGAAUUCCCGGUGUAGCGGUGAAAUGCGUAGAGAUCGGGAGGAAUACCAGUGGCGAAGGCGGCCUUCUGGACUGACACUGACGCUGAGGUGCGAAAGCGUGGGUAGCAAACAGGAUUAGUACCCGGGUAGUC
rnacentral:rRNA from 1 species